rnacentral:lncRNA from 1 species
CUCUUUCAGUAGCUGAUUCACAGUGAUGCCCUUCCUUCCUGCAGGUUGUUUUAAUACUGUUUACCAUGUGGGCUGAUGCCAAUCUCGUGAUGUUGCAAGCAUGUUCAGAUGAUGCUUACAAGAUGAAGUUUGGAAAAUGAGUGAUGCUUUUAAUCUGUGCAGAGGUGUUUCAGUCCUGUCUGCAUUUUCUGUGUGCUCUUGCAGAUCGAAUUUUUCAAGUGAUGAAGUCUCUAAGCUCAGAUAUCUUCUACCUGGGGAAAGUGACUCCAGCUGGCUCCUAAGAAGGCUGUCCCUUCUGUACCUGGAUGGACUUCAAGCCUGCAUAGCCAUUGCCUUCAGUGGGAUUGUGGGGUUGGUGGUUGAAGUUCUACUACCUUUACACCCUUUGUUUAUUAUGUAGCUGCACUGUAGGCCAUGGGGAAACCUCUGUGUUGUUCUCUCUACCCGUUUAUAUGAUGCUUUACUGAUGCAUUUCUGCACACACCUAUUUGUCUGGUCCUUUUUGAGCCAAGCAAGAGCGCAACCAGUACAAGCAGCUAAUCUUACAGUGUGGAAGCUUGGGAGCAGUGAGAGGUGAUGAUGCAGAGAGGAGAUGAUGAGCCACAAUGGGAGAAGGUGGAGGCUGCUGACCAAAAGCUGGGGCAGGGUCUGCUGCAGACAUUAAAGCUGUUAAUUUGUUUUCACCUUGAUUGUUUGGAGGUUGCUGUUGUUAAGCUGCCUGGCUGGUGUGGCUGGAAGCUCUGCUGGUUUGUUUUCUUGAAGGACGAGCAAGAAACCCAUAGGUAAACCAGAAACCUCAGUUUGUUACUUCCCAAUAUUUUUUUUUCCUUUGCUUGGCCUUGUGCUAGAGACUUUUGGGGUUACUUGAGCGGAAAGGUAGAGGAGCAGGAUUGGUCUGGGAGAGCUAAUAGAUGCACACAGGGUAAGUGGUGCUGAAUGCAGGGUGCUGGUGUGCCCUGCCCUUGCUGCUCACCUCGGCUGUAAUUACAGCAGGAGAUGUCCCAGCAGAGGAAGUUGUUUGUAACCCUGGUGCUGCCUUUCGGUGCUACUGGGUUGUUACUCAUCCAGGCUGUUGGAGAUCCAGUAUGGCAGGGAACUCAGGAAGUCCUGGAGUCUGGAAGCAGGCAAAGGAGGCAUCCAGCCAAACCAGGUGGUUUGCAUUUCUGUCACUGCUUUUCAGAGCAAGCUGGUUAUUAAAGCUAUCCCAGACAAAAUAGCACAGUUCCUCUUUUUCUCCUGGUGCAUCCCAAUGAAGUAUUCAUUCACGUUAGUCAUGCCAUUCUCUGAAAUCUUUAUAUGUGCAUAAGCAAGGCUUGACUUGUCAUUGAAGUUUAGCAGGUGCAUAGAUAUUAAAAGUUCUGUGUCUUCUGUAAUUUUUUCCUGAUGUAGCAAUUUGGCCUUUACCAAUAGCCUUAGGUUUAAACGGCACAGGAUAUAAAACGAGUUAGUUAUGCUGCUAUGCUUGUUUAAGAAUAAUUGUAAAAAGUGCCUUUGGGUUUCCAGGAACACACAUUAACAGAAGUUGCAUUUCAGUGGCUUUGCAUGGUACCUGGCUUUCACAGCGGUUCAGCUGCUAUUCUCAGAAAAAAAAUGCCCAAAAACCACUUUAGUGGGAGAUUGAUGGAAAUGCAGUGAAUUUUGCUAGUGUUUGGAUUUCCCUGCAUCAGCCUCAGGAGAAUUUGAUGCUGUGUGUCUGCAGAAGGAAUAUUGGUCAGGGAGCCUUGCCAUCUUUAAAAAGGCACAUAAAACCUGAGUCUGCCCUGAGGGGAGGGUAGCCCUAAGGACCAGUCUGUGGAUCUUGCCCUGUAACCAGUGGGGGCUGGGAGUGUCUGGUACAGAACUGGCUGCUCUGUGACUGAGGAGGGAGUCUGAGUGCCCAAAACACCCACAGAGCUGCUCCUCCCUGCCUGUUCAACAGCACCACUGACACACUCUGGCACAGCCCAAGCUAGUUUUUCUGGCAUGGUCAUGAUAUGUUAUGCCAGUGAUGUAGUGAAACUAUAAUAUGUAAUUUUACCUUGAAUACUGUAUAUACACCCUGUGCUAUACUGUCCUUGCUCUGUUGUGAUGCAGUAGCCAUGCAGAAUGAUGGGAUCCCUAACCCAGUGGGAUGGCAGAACAAAAUCUGUUGCUUCGAAUACUUGUUGCUGCAAAACCAUACUUUUUACACAGGAGAAGGUUGUAUGUGAUUUUUAUUUUACCAUAAGGUAUUUAUUUGUAAUAGUUGACUGCAGCUGUCUUUUCCAGUUGUCUUUGCAGUUUGAGUAUCAGAAGGAUAAGAUACUCAGCUGAAAUGUAUUUCACCUAUUGACUGAUCAAAUUUGAAUACCAGAGAGUGUUAAUAAAGCUUAAACAAUGCCAUAGGUAUGGUAAACA